AAUAACAAAAAAAGAAUACCCACCAUUUUGUCAAGGUUUAAAUGUAUAUAUAUGUAUAUCAUGCCCUCUCUUUUGUCCAUUAUAUCUACAAGUGAAGCAUUUGGAUUGCAGAAAAUGUCUUGCAUUAAGAUUUUCUUGUGCUUAAUGUUGAUAAUUUUAUCAUUUUCAUCUUCUAAAGGAACUCGUUCUCUUGUCACAAUGUCUGAAACUCAACUGCAUAGUCCAUCGUCUGAAACUCAGCCACUUAGUCCGUAUAUGAGGGGGAAGAAGCUAAUCGCUUCAAUUCAAGACAGGAGUGGUAGAAACGUCCAAAGAGGGAAUGGAAAUAUAGGCAAAAGUCUUUUCGAUUCCAAAAGAACAAGUCCUGGGGGCUAAUUCACGUUUAUGAUAAACGGUGAUAUCUCAAUUUAUAACAAAAAAUAUAUAAUUAUUAAGUUUUAAAUAAAAAUUUAAAUUUUAAGUGAUCUGGGUCUAAAAAAUUAAAGUUCAUGGACCCUAAUAAUUUUUUUUUUUACAAAUAUAGAAACCGGUGGCAUCACAGAAGGAAGAUUGUGUGAUAAAUAGUUAAUAGGAAUUUUUGUAAUGGUACCAGUGAGACAAUAUGCUGAACAUUAGAUAAUAUUUCUGGUGUCUUCUUCUCUUUUUCUUCUUCUUUGGUUUAGGAGUAAUUUCAUAAAUAAAUAUAUAUGUAUGUAUUCCAACAGAAUUCUCAUAGUUUAAUGGAACUGAGAUAAAUUAGUGCCACUUUUGCUGGACUUUAGCGGGAAUGGCUGGACGAAAAAGAAGGAUUUAUGAAAAUCAUAGCUGCAAAAAAAAAAAAAAAAGGUGAUACAAGAAAGUACUAAUUUCAUAAUGUGGAUAAAGAGAUUUGAUUAUCUCAUAACCAAAAUCCUAUUAUAAAAAUGACAAACAACUACUAUAAAACAACAGUAAAGUGCUCCCUUCUUUAAACUCAGUGCAGAUAUGGAUAAGGCAAA
rnacentral:lncRNA from 1 species